CCUANGGGGGGCAGCAGUGAGGAAUUUUCCGCAAUGGGCGAAAGCCUGACGGAGCGACGCCGUGUGUGGGAUUAAGUCUUUCGGGAUGUAAACCACUGUCAGAGGGAAAGAUAUUGACGGUACCCUCAGAGGAAGCCCGGCUAACUACGUGCCAGCAGCCGCGGUAAUACGUAGGGGGCGAGCGUUGUCCGGAAUUAUUGGGCGUAAAGGGCGCGUAGGUGGUCUUGUAAGUCAGAUGUUAAAUCCAUCCGCUCAACGGAUGGCCGCAUCUGAUACUGCUUGACUAGAGAGUGGUAGAGGAAAGCGGAACUACCGGUGUAGCGGUGAAAUGCGUAGAUAUCGGUAGGAACACCAGUGGCGAAGGCGGCUUUCUGGGCCAUUUCUGACGCUGAGGCGCGAAAGCUAGGGGAGCAAACGGGAUUAGAUACCCUGNUANUC
rnacentral:rRNA from 1 species